GCGGGUGUAGCUCAAGGGUAGAGCACUGGACUGUGGCUCCAGGGGUUGGGGGUUCGAAACCCCUCACUCGCCCCA
rnacentral:tRNA from 1 species